AUUGAACGCUGGCGGCAUGCUUUACACAUGCAAGUCGAACGGCAGCACGGGGCAACCUGGUGGCGAGUGGCGAACGGGUGAGUAAUGCAUCGGAACGUGCCAUUGAGUGGGGGAUAACGUAGCGAAAGUUGCGCUAAUACCGCAUAUUCUGUGAGCAGGAAAGCAGGGGACCGCAAGGCCUUGCGCUCUUUGAGCGGCCGAUGUCAGAUUAGCUAGUUGGUGAGGUAACGGCUUACCAAGGCAACGAUGGGUAGCUGGUCUGAGAGGACGAUCAGCCACACUGGGACUGAGACACGGCCCAGACUCCUACGGGAGGCAGCAGUGGGGAAUCUUGCGCAAUGCGCGAAAGCGUGACGCAGCAACACCGCGUGAGGGAAGACGGCCUUAGGGUUGUAAACCUCUUUCAGAUGGGACGAAGGUUGUCCGGUUAAUAGCCGAGAUAAUUGACGGUACCGUCAGAAGAAGCUCCGGCUAACUACGU
rnacentral:rRNA from 1 species